rnacentral:rRNA from 1 species
UAGGGAAUCUUCGGCAAUGGACGAAAGUCUGACCGAGCAACGCCGCGUGAGUGAAGAAGGUUUUCGGAUCGUAAAACUCUGUUGGUAGAGAAGAACGUUGGUGAGAGUGGAAAGCUCAUCAAGUGACGGUAACUACCCAGAAAGGGACGGCUAACUACGUGCCAGCAACCGCGGUAAUCAUGCGCU